CGUAGGGUGCGAGCGUUAAUCGGAAUUACUGGGCGUAAAGCGUGCGCAGGCGGUUCGUCGUGUCCGAUGUGAAAGCCCCGGGCUCAACCUGGGAAUGGCAUUGGAAACUGGCGGACUCGAGUGUGGCAGAGGGGGGUGGAAUUCCGCGUGUAGCAGUGAAAUGCGUAGAGAUGCGGAGGAACACCGAUGGCGAAGGCAGCCCCCUGGGCUAACACUGACGCUCAGGCACGAAAGCGUGGGGAGCAAACAGGAUUAGAUACCCUGGUAGUCCACGCCCUAAACCAUGUCAACUGGGUGUUCGGGAAGCGAUUCCUGAGUACCGUAGCUAACGCGUGAAGUUGACCGCCUGGGGAGUACGGCCGCAAGGUUA
rnacentral:rRNA from 1 species